rfam:Angiostrongylus cantonensis strain Taiwan genome assembly, scaffold: ACAC_contig0010279
GUUGCUUCUCGGCAUUUUGGCUAAGAUCAAAGUUUAGUUUCUGUUCUUAUCGAAUUAACGUUUGAUUGAGAUCCUAACGAAUCUCGUUAAUGUUAUUCGCUGGCUUGCCGGCAACCCAUCAAGGGUAAGCCCAGCAUUACACUGCUGCUGGGGACGGGCCACCCCCA